GACGAACGCUGGCGGCGUGCCUAAUACAUGCAAGUCGAACGCAUUUUCUUUCACCGUAGCUUGCUACACCGAAAGAAAAUGAGUGGCGAACGGGUGAGUAACACGUGGGUAACCUGCCCAUCAGCGGGGGAUAACACUUGGAAACAGGUGCUAAUACCGCAUAAUUCCAUUUACCGCAUGGUAGAUGGGUGAAAGGCGCUUUUGCGUCACUGAUGGAUGGACCCGCGGUGCAUUAGCUAGUUGGUGGGGUAACGGCCUACCAAGGCUGCGAUGCAUAGCCGACCUGAGAGGGUGAUCGGCCACACUGGGACGGAGACACGGCCCAGACUCCUACGGGAGGCAGCAGUAGGGAAUCUUCGGCAAUGGACGCAAGUCUGACCGAGCAACGCCGCGUGAGUGAAGAAGGUUUUCGGAUCGUAAAACUCUGUUGUUAGAGAAGAACAAGGAUGAGAGUGGAAAGUUCAUCCCUUGACGGUAUCUAACCAGAAAGCCACGGCUAACUACGUG
rnacentral:rRNA from 1 species